CGGGUGGUAGCGCAGCUUGGUAGCGUGCCUGAAUGGGGUUCAGGAGGUCCCGAGUUCAAAUCUCGGCCACCCGA
rnacentral:tRNA from 1 species